UUUUGAAAGAAAAGAAAAAUUCCAUCUACUUACCAACUGCAUAUAGCAUUAACCAGUGGCGAUCCGAUUUUUUCCAACCAUCCUUCUGAAUAUUGCUAUACGAUUUGUGCAGGAUACACGUGACCACAAUUUGCUGUAAACAAGACCUGGCAAAGAUGUUUGAACAGUUUGAUAUGAAUGAGCGCAAUCAUAAACGAAAAUUAUAUAAACUGAAACGAUUAAAAGUAUUCAUUGAUGGAAGACUGAAUAGGAAGAUAAAAGUGAAACAAUAGCUGUCAGAAAUCGUAGACGGAGUUGAGGCAGCAAUCGCAAGAUAGAUCAUUAAUUUAUUUGUUGAAUAUUUUGUUUAUGUAUAAUAGCUAGCUAUUUACCAUAAGCAAUAACGCUACCAUUUAGAAAUUUUUUGAUACAUCAAUACCAAUGGCGUAUCUAGGGUACGUCAAUGAAAAUUAUUUAUUGUACCUCGUUUGGGGUUUCAAUAAUAGUUUAGAGACAACUUGAUUGGUAUAAUUUUAUAAUUUAGAAAUUCAAAUAUUUAGUAUUUUUAGGAAGAUUUCUUGAAUUAAAAGGGAGCAUCUAUAAAUUAUUUUGGCAAACGCUGGAUCCACCUAUGUAAUAUGAAAAAUUUAAUCAAAAAACGUCAACAGAGUUGUACAUAAAUAAAGUUAUAUAUAUUAUUAAAUUUAGCAUAAAUCAGCGUAUACAUUACGUAAA